rnacentral:lncRNA from 1 species
AUGCCAGCGUACUGGGCAGGAACUGAACAUUCAAGAAGAGAGAGAAGAGGAAGAAGGCAGCAGAGCCUGGUGAGAGGGCACUGGAAAGCAUGCACCCCUGCCCUCUCCCAGCUGCUCCCCAGCCCUCUCCUAGCCUGCACCCCAGAGGGAAAAAAAGAAAACAAAAGAAAAAGAGAAGACACUACAGAACAUGUCCUUGUUUCACAAUGUCGUCAUCAUGUAAACGUGAAUCGAGUACAGCUUCCUGAGGUUGCACAGAGAGUUAAACUUCUGCUGGGAAAAGGCAAGAAGGGCCAAUGGCUGCGAGAUGACAGGUUCCAUAAAGGAAAUACUCUCUGACCAGGCCCUGAUGGCACAAGAUGAAAGUAUGUGGAAGGAAAGAUGGAUAUACCAAGAAGGUCUAUCCAAGAAGUCAGUAAAUAUGUGCUGAACAAAUAAUUUCGACUUCUUAAAUUCUCCAAUCAAGUUCAACAACAAAAAAAUAUUUGACUACCUGCAAAGUGUAAGCUAUGAUUUCUGUUCUUGUGUCCUUAAAAUUUCAGAGACCCCAAGUAAAGCCUAUUAGAGCAAAGCAGCCCUUCCAAGUAUUAAUUUAUAAUCAAUUUUGAAAGUAGCUGAGUUUAUUGUGUCCUAAUGUGAAAAUGAGCUAUUGGCUGUAUGCCAAUUAGCAGAUAAGUCUCCUAUCCCAACAGGUGAAAUAUGAGAUGCUGAAUAAUAAAG